ensembl:lncRNA
AACCGAGCUCCCCGCGGAGCAUCACCCACGUCUCCCUGUCCUGUGUGAUAGGCUAUCGGUCAUUAUUAAAGGUGUGUUAGGCUAUGGGUCAUUAUUAAAGGUGUGUUAGGCUAUGGGUCAUUAUUAAAGGUGUGGGUUAGGGUUAGGGUUAUUAAAGGUGUGAUAGGCUAUGGGUUAUUAUUAAAGGUGUGUUAGGCUAUGGGUCAUUAUUAAAGGUGUGUUAGGCUAUGGGUUAUUAUUAAAGGUGUGUUAGGCUGUGGGUCAUUAUUAAAGGUGUGUUAGGCUAUGGGUUAUUAUUAAAGGUGUGUUAGGCUAUGGGUUAUUAUUAAAGGCGUGUUAUGAUUCUGCAG